rnacentral:rRNA from 1 species
GCCUUCGGGUUGUAAACCUCUUUUAGCAGGGAAGAAGCGAAAGUGACGGUACCUGCAGAAAAAGCGCCGGCUAACUACGUGCCAGCAGCCGCGGUAAUACGUAGGGCGCAAGCGUUAUCCGGAAUUAUUGGGCGUAAAGAGCUCGUAGGCGGUUUGUCGCGUCUGCUGUGAAAUCCCGAGGCUCAACCUCGGGCCUGCAGUGGGUACGGGCAGACUAGAGUGCGGUAGGGGAGAUUGGAAUUCCUGGUGUAGCGGUGGAAUGCGCAGAUAUCAGGAGGAACACCGAUGGCGAAGGCAGAUCUCUGGGCCGUAACUGACGCUGAGGAGCGAAAGGGUGGGGAGCAAACAGGCUUAGAUACCCUGGUAGUCCACCCCGUAAACGUUGGGAACUAGUUGUGGGGUCCAUUCCACGGAUUCCGUGACGCAGCUAACGCAUUAAGUUCCCCGCCUGGGGAGUACGGCCGCAAGGCUAAAACUCAAAGGAAUUGACGGGGACCCGCACAAGCGGCGGAGCAUGCGGAUUAAUUCGAUGCAACGCGAAGAACCUUACCAAGGCUUGACAUAUACGAGAACGGGCCAGAAAUGGUCAACUCUUUGGACACUCGUAAACAGGUGGUGCAUGGUUGUCGUCAGCUCGUGUCGUGAGAUGUUGGGUUAAGUCCCGCAACGAGCGCAACCCUCGUUCUAUGUUGCCAGCACGUAAUGGUGGGAACUCAUGGGAUACUGCCGGGGUCAACUCGGAGGAAGGUGGGGAUGACGUCAAAUCAUCAUGCCCCUUAUGUCUUGGGCUUCACGCAUGCUACAAUGGCCGGUACAAAGGGCUGCAAUACCGCGAGGUGGAGCGAAUCCCAAAAAGCCGGUCCCAGUUCGGAUUGAGGUCUGCAACUCGACCUCAUGAAGUCGGAGUCGCUAGUAAUCGCAGAUCAGCAACG